GGCUCGGUGGUGUAGCGGUGUAACACAGUAUGCCUCGAACUGGCACGAGACGCGGGUUCGAAUCACGCCUGAGUCC
rnacentral:tRNA from 1 species